AGUGAAGUAGCCGAGGAUUUGCCAUCUGUAAACACGUCCAUGUUUUUUGCCGUUUACGGCUGCUCCAAUCGCUCCAGCAGAAAAAAGGAAAAGCAUUAUUAUCGAGUGCCAAAGGUUGUCAUUCAUAAAGGUGAAAGAUGUAAAAAACUAACCGAAAAACGACUUAAAAAGUGGAUUACAAAUUUACAUCUGCGGUCGGGAGGAGCAGAGUCUGCUAAUGUGAGUGUCUGUAGCGACCACUUCGUCAGCGGCUGCAAGAGAGUGAGAGAAAGCAGGAUCAUAGGACUUUCUCCGACAAUGAUUUGGGAGAUUUUAGCCAGCUCGGGUGUUGUCCUUCGAAGAAAAUGUGUCUGUCUUGCAACCCUUCUCCUUAUUCUAGAUAAAUGGAACAUAGAGGAUAUUAUUAUAACCAUUUGCUUAAAUUCCCGCACCUUCUUCAGUGCUGCUGUCAUUCUCUUGGAACCUCCUCGACCAGUUUCUAUUUUGUCUUUUGAUAAAUUUGGGAGAAAUAUCAAAUUUUUGUAAUUUCACUAUUGUCCCAUAUUUUCUCCAGAUAUUGAUGACUAUAUAUAUAUAUAUGUAUAUCCCUGUAUGUAUGCAUGCAUGUAUGUAUGUACAGUAUGUAAAGUAUAUUUUAAUUUUUUUGUACAUCUUUCCUCACCUUUUAUCCUUUCUGAGCUCACUGCAAUCUAUGACUUUGUAAAUGUGAGUAAACCCCUACUAAGACAGCUUAUUUAUUAUUUUAAAUUGAGCUAUAAUCACCAUAAACUGUUUGAUAUGUACCCAAGAAAACUAAAUGAUGAAAUUGGAUAAUAAAAUAAAGUAUUUCAAAGCAUGCACACCUAUACAA